AGCAGCUGCCCCUGCAAAUGUCAGCGCCAGCCCAGUCAAAAGAGCUUGAAACCUACCAAGCCGGAGGACUGUGCUGUGCCUCUCUCGCCCACAUUUUCCCCAAGCACUCUCAGGAACCUGGCAACAGUGUCCCCUUGUGGCCAAGCCUGGAACAUCACAUCUGUACGUUGCAAUCUGUGGAUCAGCUACGAGACUGAGAGAAAGGAAUGAAAGGAUGGAAGAAUUACAAGAUCAGGCACUGCUGUCUGUCUGUUCCACGGAUGUAACCACAGCACACGCGUGGCUCACGGUACUAGUGUGAUAAAUGCUUGUUACAUGAAGGCGUGAACAGGGAUGAGAAGAGACUUCCUGGAGAAACAAAAGGACUAACAAUCAGGAAGGGGAGGUGAUCGGGGCAGGAGUAAAGUGGACACCUCAGCAAAGCCAUUCGCUGUGAUCUCUGAUUGUGCAGUGUCAUGUCCUGUCACCAGAGCCCCCUCGUGUUUGAUGUUGGCCAAUGCCGCCAGCAUGAUCUAGCAGGCCAAAUCCUAAUCUACCAUUCUCUGACACCAGCUGGUCCCCUGGGUCGUCCACCCGAUGUCCCCCAUUCUCCCCACUUGGCCUCCCCCACAGGCUCUCGGCAAAGGACCGUGGGAGGCACCUGUGACACUGCCCUUUUCCUGUGCAGCUGUUUUUCUUCUUCAUUCUUUUCACUCCUCGUUACUCUUUUUUUUUUCACUCUCAGCCCACACAAAACUAGGAACUUUGUUAUUCUACUUAUUUUUCUGUACUCUGUCUGUUUGCACACAGAUGGAUAUCUGAGAGCCAGCGAACUUUCUUUACCUCCUAGUAUCAUUUCAUGAAAAUUAGUAGCACCUGCACAAUGGGGCCUUGGAGACAGGAAUAAAAGGAAAAAUCUGGAAUGGAAUCACAUGACGCAACAGGCUAUGAAGACUCCCUGCCCGGCUGCUAUAUGUCUGGUAAACAGAAUAAAUAGUACUUGAGCAUCCCUGA
rnacentral:lncRNA from 10 species